rnacentral:rRNA from 1 species
AGUGGAGGUCCGAACCGGUUGACGUUGAAAAGUCUUCGGAUGACCUGUGGGUAGGGGUGAAAGGCCAAUCAAACUCGGAAAUAGCUCGUACUCCCCGAAAUGCAUUUAGGUGCAGCGCUGAUAAUAGUUAUAUAGAGGUAGAGCUACUGAUUGGAUGCGGGGGCUUCACCGCCUACCAAUUCCUGACAAACUCCGAAUGCUAUAUAAUGUUUUACAGCAGUGAGGGCAUGGGUGCUAAGGUCCAUGUCCGAGAGGGAAAGAACCCAGACCAUCAGCUAAGGUCCCCAAAUGUAUGCUAAGUUGAAAAAACGAGGUUUGUCUGCCCAGACAGCUAGGAUGUUGGCUUGGAAGCAGCCAUUCAUUUAAAGAGUGCGUAACAGCUCACUAGUCGAGCGGACGAGCAUGGAUAAUA